UUGAAGUGAUCGUGGAGGGUUUCUACAGU
rnacentral:piRNA from 1 species